rnacentral:rRNA from 1 species
UACGUAGGGGGCUAGCGUUGUCCGGAAUCAUUGGGCGUAAAGCGCGUGUAGGCGGUCCGGUAAGUCCGCUGUGAAAGUCGGGGGCUCAACCCUCGGAUGCCGGUGGAUACUGUCGGGCUCGAGUACGGAAGAGGCGAGUGGAAUUCCUGGUGUAGCGGUGAAAUGCGCAGAUAUCAGGAGGAACACCUAUUGCGAAGGCAGCUCGCUGGGACGUUACUGACGCUGAGACGCGAAAGCGUGGGGAGCAAACAGG